rnacentral:misc_RNA from 1 species
AUGCAUGUAUUUUUUCACUUCUCAGACAAUGAAGAUAUUGUUUAAAAUCUAUAGCCAAGGUCCCCACAAUCCCCUGAUCCAAUUUCAAAAGGAGGGUGAAGAAAAAGGGUCUAUAGUAAGAUUAGUAUUUCAUUUUCCUUUUCUUUUUUCUCAUUGCUUACUUAUACACAAUAGUUAUUUAAGUGGAGGUUAGCAAGCAGGGUGGUAGACCCGACAGUGGUUCUGGCCUUUGCAACUCCUUGCAGAGUGUUCUGUGAAAGCUCAUUCUUUCUAAUCUUUUUAGUUAUACG